CAGCCAGGCAACUCCAGGCUGGAUCAAACUGCUGCUCGCUGGGAGGAAUGUGUCAUGAGAUACGUGUGCACAGACCCUCUAUCUGCUGCUAAUGGAAGCAGCUGGUUCGAGUGUCCUAUUUGUGAGCACUUCAUUGCGUCUUUCAAAGCCGUAAAAAAGUGAAGUCUGUGCGGAGAGACAGAGACCCACUCCUGCUCCCCAGAGUGGGUUGUGAGAGGAUCACUCACCCUACUGGCCUCCAUCCAGAGUCCUGUUCUGUUUACCACUGCAGACACAUGGAUACAUGGAUCUCUCAACUAUUCAGAGCUGUGUAACAGAAAUGAGGCCAGAGUAUCCCAGAUAAGGACGAUGCCAUCUUUUGUAUUUGGAGCCAGAGUCUGCUCAGAGGUCAUCGGGGGAUGAAGCUGCAGAAUUGACGCCCAGCCAUCACACGCACUCGACCAAUCACGAGUCAGUCUCAGC